rnacentral:tRNA from 1 species
GCCUGGGUGGCUCAGUCGGUUAAGCGUCUGACUUCAGCUCAGGUCAUGAUCUGUAGGUUUGUGAGUUCAAGCCCCACGCCAGGCU